GACGAACGCUGGCGGCGUGCCUAAUACAUGCAAGUUGAGCGCUGAAGGUUGGUACUUGUCCCAACUGGAUGAGCAGCGAACGGGUGAGUAACGCGUGGGUAAUCUGCCUUUGAGCGGGGGACAACAUUUGGAAACGAAUGCUAAUACCGCAUAAAAACUUUAAACACAAGUUUUAAGUUUGAAAGAUGCAAUUGCAUCACUUAAAGAUGAUCCCGCGUUGUAUUAGCUAGUUGGUGAGGUAAAGGCUCACCAAGGCGAUGAUACAUAGCCGACCUGAGAGGGUGAACGGCCACAAUGGGACUGAGACACGGCCCAAGAUCCUAAGGGAAGCAGCAGUAGGGAAUCUUCGGCAAUGGACGAAAGGCUGAACGAGCAACGGCGCGGGAGUGAAGAAGGUUUUCGGAUCGUAAAACUCUGUUGGUAGAGGAGAACGUUGGGGAGAGUGAAAAGCUCAUCAAGUGACGGUAACUACCCAGAAAGGGACGGCUAACUACGUG
rnacentral:rRNA from 1 species